AAGACUUUACUCUCAGGGAUCAUUUCUAUAGUUCUAAACUUGAGAAAUGUGAUUUUUAAAGAGUUUGGUCUCGCUGCCCGCGAUGGAACAGUCAAGAUGUUUCCUUCAGAGCAGGCAGUCGAUGGAAGAAGAUUGAUCUUCUUCAUCAUUGGUGACUGUCUCUGUUGGAGGAAACCUGAUCUGAGUGGU
ensembl:snoRNA U3 Small nucleolar RNA U3